rnacentral:rRNA from 1 species
CAGCCGCCGCGGGAAUACGGAGGGAGCUAGCGUUGUUCGGAAUUACUGGGCGUAAAGCGCACGUAGGCGGCUUUGUAAGUUAGAGGUGAAAGCCUGGAGCUCAACUCCAGAAUUGCCUUUAAGACUGCAUCGCUUGAAUCCGGGAGAGGUGAGUGGAAUUCCGAGUGUAGAGGUGAAAUUCGUAGAUAUUCGGAAGAACACCAGUGGCGAAGGCGGCUCACUGGACCGGCAUUGACGCUGAGGUGCGAAAGCGUGGGGAGCAAACAGGAUUAGAUACCCCUGUAGUCCCUGUCUCUUAUAC